UACGUAGGGGGCCAGCGUUGCUCGGAAUUACUGGGCGUAAAGGGUCCGUAGGCGGUGUAGCAAGUCGAUAGUGAAAUCUCUGGGCUUAACCCAGAGGCUGCUAACGAAACUGCUGUGCUAGAGUGUGAGAGAGGCGAGUGGAAUUACGGGUGUAGCGGUGAAAUGCGCAGAUAUCAGGAGGAACACCAAUAGCGAAGGCAGCUCGCUGGGACGUUACUGACACUGAGGCGCGAAAGCGUGGGGAGCGAACAGG
rnacentral:rRNA from 1 species